rnacentral:rRNA from 1 species
GGGAUAUCCACAGAAGGAGUAGAUUCGAUCCCCAAUCCACAUGACCAAGACUGGAGGGACUCCAGCCGCGCUCUUCCUCGGAGGCACCUACGGCUGGUCGUCCGCAUCACGGGCGACGGGAGGAACUCCAGCCACGCUAUUCAUCGUCAGAGUCGUCGAGGAGGCGGAUGCCAGGCACGGCCCGAGCGCUGUUGGGCCCCAAGUUCUCUCGCGGGCAGUGCGGGUGGUCGACAGCGGGCUGCGGUUGCUCGACACUGUGAAGGCGGAGGCCACGAGGCGCCAGCGAGUGCCAGUGUGCGGCGAGGGCGCCGCGGCGGCGCGAAGCCGGGCGAGGCCUGGUGCAGGGUGGGCGCGCGCGAGGGUGGCCUCGGCCUGGCGCAGGGGCCCGACCACGGGUGUGGCGCGGGCACGGCCGUGCGGCGGGGGCGCUUUGGCGCGACUGCAUCAACAUCGACGACUGCGGCGUCGGAGGAGCCGCUCAUGACGCGCAUGCCGAAGGGCGACCCUGUAGAGGGCCGGCGCCACCGAUCCGCGCGGAUGCGCGUUUCCGUCGCGGGACGCGAAGCCGGUGGUUCCGGUCGCCCAGUCAAGCGCGGGAUCGAGGCCAGACGCUGAUGGCAAGAUGGCGAUGAGCGCCACCACCAGUCCAGCGAAGAUGGUAAUGAAGUGAGGCAUCCUACCUUUUUUUGAUUCAUGCUCUUUAAGGUUCGAUGGAUGCACAUACAUGGCGCAUGUCCCUGCAACCCUGUUCUUCAUUCUCUCGUUUAUCCCCUGUAUUCCUGUAGGAAUCGAAGUGACAGUUAGAGACCGAGAGAUUUGUCGUCGUGGCCGUGCACGGCGCGAAGAUGCCGAUUGGAAGCACUUUCGCCGGGCUGAGGAAAGCAUGCUGAUAACGUGUUGAGAUGUAAACGAGAGACAAUCGAAUAAAUGAUUGGACUGUGGAUUCCAUUGAAUGA